rnacentral:piRNA from 3 species
GAACAUGGGUCAGUCGGUCC